rnacentral:lncRNA from 10 species
GGAAGUAUCAACUGACUGUUCCAGGAAACUCUCCAAAUUGGCUUAUAACUCAUGCAAAACAACAUGCUGCAAUGUUCUGAUGAAAUGCUCCUCUACAGUCGAGGCUCCCAGAAGGCAGAGAGCAUAUUCAUUAACUCAUUCUGCUCAACACUUAGCUCAUGUCCAUGGAGAGAUGUUGAAUAUGAGCUCCUAUUAAAAAGAGGGAAUACAAUCAAUCAUUUGAGAAUGUCCAAAAAGAACUUUUCCUUUCCAUCGAGCCUUACAAAUUAUUCUAAGAUUGUUUCUGUAAAUACCAUGUAAUUGGGAGAGAUACACAGGGAGCGUCAAUUGUGUCUGUAAUGUUUUACUGCUUAUGAUAAAAAGA